rnacentral:rRNA from 1 species
GACGAACGCUGGCUGCGUGCCUAAUACAUGCAAGUAGAACGCUGAAGGAGGAGCUUGCUUCUCUGGAUGAGUUGCGAACGGGUGAGUAACGCGUAGGUAACCUGCCUGGUAGCGGGGGAUAACUAUUGGAAACGAUAGCUAAUACCGCAUAACAGUAGAUGUUGCAUGACAUUUGCUUAAAAGGUGCAAUUGCGUCACUACCAGAUGGACCUGCGUUGUAUUAGCUAGUUGGUGGGGUAACGGCUCACCAAGGCGACGAUACAUAGCCGACCUGAGAGGGUGAUCGGCCACACUGGGGCUGAGACACGGCCCAGACUCCUACGGGAGGCAGCAGUAGGGAAUCUUCGGCAAUGGACGGAAGUCUGACCGAGCAACGCCGCGUGAGUGAAGAAGGUUUUCGGAUCGUAAAGCUCUGUUGUAAGAGAAGAACGAGUGUGAGAGUGGAAAGUUCACACUGUGACGGUAUCUUACCAGAAAGGGACGGCUAACUACGCGCCAGCAGCCGCGGUAAUACGUAGGUCCCGAGCGUUGUCCGGAUUUAUUGGGCGCAAAGCGAGCGCAGGCGGUUAGAUAAGUCUGAAGUUAAAGGCUGUGGCUUAACCAUAGUAGGCUUUGGAAACUGUUUAACUUGAGUGCAAGAGGGGAGAGUGGAAUUCCAUGUGUAGCGGUGAAAUGCGUAGAUAUAUGGAGGAACACCGGUGGCGAAAGCGGCUCUCUGGCUUGUAACUGACGCUGAGGCUCGAAAGCGUGGGGAGCAAACAGGGUUAGAUACCCUGGUAGUCCACGCCGUAAACGAUGAGUGCUAGGUGUUAGACCCUUUCCGGGGUUUAGUGCCGUAGCUAACGCGUUAAGCACUCCGCCUGGGGAGUACGACCGCAAGGUUGAAACUCAAAGGAAUUGACGGGGGCCCGCACAAGCGGUGGAGCAUGUGGUUUAAUUCGAAGCAACGCGAAGAACCUUACCAGGUCUUGACAUCCCUCUGACCGCUCUAGAGAUAGAGUUUUCCUUCGGGACAGAGGUGACAGGUGGUGCAUGGUUGUCGUCAGCUCGUGUCGUGAGAUGUUGGGUUAAGUCCCGCAACGAGCGCAACCCCUAUUGUUAGUUGCCAUCAUUCAGUUGGGCACUCUAGCGAGACUGCCGGUAAUAAACCGGAGGAAGGUGGGGAUGACGUCAAAUCAUCAUGCCCCUUAUGACCUGGGCUACACACGUGCUACAAUGGCUGGUACAACGAGUCGCAAGCCGGUGACGGCAAGCUAAUCUCUUAAAGCCAGUCUCAGUUCGGAUUGCAGGCUGCAACUCGCCUACAUGAAGUCGGAAUCGCUAGUAAUCGCGGAUCAGCACGCCGCGGUGAAUACGUUCCCGGGCCU